CCUACGGGUGGCAGCAGUAGGGAAUCUUUCACAAUGGGCGAAAGCCUGAUGGAGCAACGCCGCGUGCAGGAUGAAGGCCUUCGGGUUGUAAACUGCUUUUAUCAGCGAGAAAUAUGAUGGUAACUCAUGAAUAAGGAUCGGCUAACUACGUGCCAGCAGCCGCGGUCAUACGUAGGAUCUGAGCAUUAUCCGGGGUGACUGGGUGUAAAGAGUUGCGUAGGUGGCAUAAUAAGUAGCUAGUGUAAUCUGGUGGCUCAACCAUUCAGACUAUUAGCUAAACUGUUAAGCUCGAGACCGUUAGGGGUAACUGGAAUUUCUAGUGUAGGAGUGAAAUCCGUAGAUAUUAGAAGGAACACCAAUAGCGUAGGCAGGUUGCUGGGACGGUUCUGACACUAAGGCACGAAAGCGUAGGGAGCAAACGGGAUUAGAUACCCCGGUAGUC
rnacentral:rRNA from 1 species